ACGCUUGGGUUUCUCUUCCUGCCCAAGAAUGCAGGAGGAAAACAGCGCAACACUUUUUCGUGAGAUAAUUGUUUUUCGCUCUCGUUUCAAGAAAAUCAGCAUAAUGGGCUACUAAAGAAAGAAAUGUGUGAGGCACGUGCGCUAGUAAGCAACGCUAACUCAAGUGCAUGACUGCAGCCUGUGAUGUAGCCUGUGACGUUGGUUCAGGUGAAAACUCUGGAGCUGACUGGGGACAACAUCUGGUGAAGACGCCGGUUCUACAAACAAGUCGCUAUUACUCCUCGGGCCUGAAGUGCUAGAAUAAAACUAAAAUGAUCUGCUUGAAGAUGGAGAGGUCGGAGACUGUGUGUCAGUACCACGGUGUGAGUUACCUCAUCCUUCACGAGCUCCAGCUCCUCCAGGACAGGUUGGCCCAGGUGGAGAGAGAGCUCCAGAACCAGAGAGGGGCCGCAGAGAGAGAGAGAGAGAGCCCAGA